GGGCGACCUGGUGUUGAUGGGAAGAGGGGCCUGCCUGGCAAAGAUGGAGAAGGAGGCAUAAAAGGAGAUGAUGGCAAAAAGGGGGAGAGGGGUGACCCAGGUGCAAAUGUAAGUGUUUCUGUACAAAAGAAUCAAAAUAAUAAUAAUAAUUAAAGCAGCAUGAUUGAGCAUUUUGUCCUUUCUCAGGGUAAAGAUGGUAGUAAGGGUGACGCAGGGCCUCCAGGUUUGCCUGGAAAGCAGGUGUUAGUCACUACAGAGGGCGCCACCAUUGACGAAAUCCGACAAGCAUUUCCAAUCCCAAUGGGUCCCCCAGGAGCUACUGGUUCACCAGGAAUGAAGGGUGAUCCAGGAGAAAAAGGCCUGAAAGGAGAGAAGGUAGAGCUGAACAAUCCCAUCCCUCAAAAACACGAACACGGAAAUGACAUGAUUUUCAAUGCAUUUGCUUCCUUUUAUCAAAGGGUGAUGCUGGAG
rnacentral:lncRNA from 1 species